AUUGAACGCUAGCGGGAGGCUUUACACAUGCAAGUCGAACGGAGUGGCGGACGGGUGAGUAAUAUAUCGGAACCUGCCCAGUGGCGGGGGAUAACUACUGGAAACAGUGGCUAAUACCGCGUACUAUAGGAGGGGCCCAUAUGGGAUUAGGUAGUUGGUGGGGUAAAGGCUCACCAAGUCGACGAUCUCUAGCUGGUCUGAGAGGAUGACCAGCCACACUGGGACUGAGACACGGCCCAGACUCCUACGGGAGGCAGCAGUGGGGAAUUUUGGACAAUGGGGGAAACCCUGACGCAGCCAUGCCGCGUGUAUGAUGAAGGCCUUCGGGUUGUAAAGUACUUUCGGCAGCGAAGCGUUAUCUGCAGAAUAAGCACCGGCUAACUCCGUGCCAGCAGCCGCGGUAAUAC
rnacentral:rRNA from 1 species